GGAGUCGUCCGGGUGGCCGCGGGCCGCAAGGCUCGAGGAAGGUCGGGGCUUCACAGGGCAGGGUGCUCUCGCGAGGCAGGGCGACCUGACGGAAAGUGCAACAGAAAAUACACCGCCCCUUCGGGGGCAAGGGUGAAAUGGUGCGGUAAGAGCGCACCAGCGGCGAGGUGACUCGUCGGCUUGGCAAACCCCACCCGAAGCAAGGUCAAAUAGGGGUGAUCGGCGGCCCGUCGCCAGGCUUGGGCCUGGAAGCCCCUGGUAGACCGCUUAGAUGGAUGGCCACCGCGGCCCCUUGGGGCCAGACAGAACCCCGCCUACAGGGCGGCUCCUGCG
rnacentral:RNase_P_RNA from 1 species